UCUCACUGUUCUUUUCCCAAACACACAAGAUCUCACAAUCCCAGCAAGAGGAAAUGACUUAGGGAUGAAGGCUUCAGAGGAGGAAAAAAAAAUAGAGGCUUCCAAUAAAAAUCAUUUCUAGAAGGAAUGAAGCUGUUAUUGGCAAGUCAACCAGUGAGAGAGACGACUUUGGAAAGAAAGAAGUUCUAUCUUCUAUCCACAUGUCUGUUAGAGAAUGUUUGCAGGUAUUUCCUGGGGGCUUCCCUGGUGGCUCAGAUGGUAAAGAGUCUGCCUGCAGUACAGGAGACCAGGGUUCGAUCCCUGGAUUUGGAAGAUCUGAUGGAGAAGGGAAUGGCUACCAACUCCAGUAUUCUUGCCUAGAGAAUUCCACAGACAGAGGAUCCUGGAGAGCCACAGUACACGGGAUUGCAAAGAGCUGGACAAGACUGACUAACACUAUUACCCUCCUACAGAGUUCCAAAAAAACAGCAGGAAAGGAAACAGGAUUGCUGAUGAAGUACAAGAUCAUCAGAAUUAAAGUUCUCAAGGAAUUAAAUCUCUCACUCCUGGCAAAACACCAUGCCAUGUAUUUAACUCAGCAUCCUGUGCCAAGGAGGUGAAAAAAGCCAGAAAAUAUCCUGUCCACAGGGAGACCCAGACCUCUACAAACUGUGGGAGGAAGUUUUCAAGGAUUAUACUACUAUUAACUAGCAUUUUCUAGAAAAGCCAUAACAAACAGCAACAUGCAAUAAUUUUACCUGCCAUUUAGAUGCAAAAAGAGGUCAUUACUCAUAUUAAUUAAAAAGAUAAAAUUUAGUAUGGAUAUAAAUUAUAUUUUUAGAUAUUUUAUUUGUUAUCAUUACAACAAACAUGUCUCAGACAGCAUACCUUUAUAAAUA
ensembl:lncRNA